UACGAGGGAUGCAAGCGUUAUCCGGAAUUAUUGGGCGUAAAGCGUUUGUAGGCGGGCGAGUGUGUUUAAUGUUAAAUCUUAAAGCUCAACUUUGAAAUUGCGUUAAAAACUGCUUGUCUUGAGUAUGGUAGGGGUAAAGGGAAUUCCCAGUGUAGCGGUGAAAUGCGUAGAUAUUGGGAAGAACACUAAACAGCGAAGGCACUUUACUAGGCUAAUACUGACGCUGAGAAACGAAAGGUAAGGUAGCGAAACGGAUUAGAUACCCGUGUAGUCUUACCCGUAAACUAUGGACACUAAACGGUAAAUUUUUAAUUUACUGUUAAAGCUAACGCGUUAAGUGUCCCGCCUGGGGAGUAUGCUUGCAAAAGUGAAACUCAAAGGAAUUGACGGGGGCCCGCACAAGCGGUGGAGCAUGUGGUUUAAUUCGACGGUACACGAAGAACCUUACCAGGAUUUGACAUGCUAGAUAGUUGCUUGAAAGAGUAACGUGCCGUAAGGAAUCUAGACACAGGUGGUGCAUGGCUGUCGUCAGUUCGUGUUGUGAAAUGUUGGGUUAAGUCCCGCAACGAACGCAACCCUUGUCUUUAGUUAUUUUCUAAAGAGACUGCCUGUAAUAAACAGGAGGAAGGUAAGGAUGAGGUCAAGUCAUCAUGCCCCUUAUGUCCUGGGCUACACACGUGCUACAAUGGGAAAGACAAUGAGCUGCAAAUCUGUAAAUUUAAGCAAAUCUCUUAAACUUUCUCGUAGUUCGGAUUGUGGGCUGCAACUCGCCCACAUGAAGUUGGAAUCGCUAGUAAUCGCCAAUCAGCUAUAUGGCGGUGAAUCCGUUCCCGGGCCU
rnacentral:rRNA from 1 species